UACUGAGCUGAACCCUCAGAAGCUGAGGUCUC
rnacentral:piRNA from 1 species